GGGUCCGGACACACUGAGGAUUGACAGGCAAUAUUAAUACGUGUUUCGGCGCGUAUUAUGUUAAAUAUGCUAGUCCUUUCGUGAUUAUGUGAUAGGUGGUGCAUGGCCGUUCUUAGUUCGUGGAGUGAUCUGUCUGCUUAAUUGCGUUUCACUAAGAAUCUAUCAAUACGUGCGUUGCGGCACUUUGACCCCUCUCUGAGCGCGCGUCUUAGUUGCUUAGCUCGCACAAUUAGGUUCUGAAAGCAACGAACGUGACCGCAACCUCUUGUUGCCUUUAUACCAAACACGUUUACUGCUUUUGCAGUAUUCGUGCAAAAAGGCUUUUUAAACUAGAGGGACCGCUGUUACUUUCUUAAACCAGAGGAAGGUUGCGGCAAUAACAGGUCUGUGAUGCCCUUAGAUGUUCCGGGCUGCACACGUGCUACAAUGAUUGUUGCAGUGAGCAUCUCAUUUUUACACACCGCAUGCGCGAGUCCAUUUAUUCACUUCGGUGCUUUAAAUGUGUAUUUCUGCGCGCGGUAAAGCCUGCUUCGAGAGUAAGUGGGU
rnacentral:rRNA from 1 species